GACGAACGCUGGCGGCGUGCUUAACACAUGCAAGUCGAACGCUGAAGCUCAGCUUUUGUUGGGUGGAUGAGUGGCGAACGGGUGAGUAACACGUGAGUAACCUGCCUCCUUCUUUGGGAUAACGCCCGGAAACGGGUGCUAAUACUGGAUAUUCACUGGUCUUCGCAUGGGGGUUGGUGGAAAGGGUUUUUCUGGUGGGGGAUGGGCUCGCGGCCUAUCAGGUUGUUGGUGGGGUGAUGGCCUACCAAGGGUUUGACGGGUACCCGGCCUGAGAGGGUGACCGGUCAGAUUGGGAGUGCGGUACGACCGAGACUGCUACGCGAGGCAGCAGCGGGGAAGAGGGAGCAAUGGGGGCAAGCGUGAUGCAGCGGCGCCGCUGGAGGGAUGGAGGCCUGCGGGUUGUGAACCUCUUUGGCUCAUGGUCAAGCAGCAACAAGGGUUGUGGUGAGGGUAGUGGGUAAAGAAGCGCCGGCUAACUACGUG
rnacentral:rRNA from 1 species